rnacentral:rRNA from 1 species
UACGUAGGGGGCAAGCGUUGUCCGGAUUUACUGGGCGUAAAGAGCGCUCAGGCGGUCGUUCAAGUCGCGUGUGAAAGCCCCCGGCUCAACUGGGGAGGGUCACGCGAUACUGAUCGACUCGAAGGCAGGAGAGGGUAGUGGAAUUCCCGGUGUAGUGGUGGAAUGCGUAGAUAUCAUCUGGAACGCCAAUGGUGAAGACAGCUUGCUGGGGGUAUUCUGACACUGAGACACGAAAGCCAGGGGAGCAAACGGG